ACUGAAAGAUGUUACAUUUUCUGAAAAUUACCAGUUCAAAGAGUACCAUAGUUGAAGAAUAACCCUGCAGCAAUAGCAUAUGUCUUAUAUUAACGUCAAUUCCAGUUUUGUUAACACGGAUAGGAAGCCAAGUUGUAGCUCCGAACUUACUGACAAUAGCCUAAGCAUGAUCAAUGGCAAUGUCUGACUCUGAUAGGCCUGCCUAUACAGAUAGAGAAGAAGAGACUGUCUGACUGACUUUUGUGCAAAAAAGUGAAAUAAUACUGUUCAUAAUAUUUUCCCCCUCAGGACCAGAUGGCUGUGUGACAUGUUUUCAGUUCUGUGCAAGGAACCACCAUCACACCAUGGAAGAUGUCAAUGUCAACAGCAGAAGGAAAAUUACUCUGCAGGCCCUUCCCAUCUUCCUGUGGGAAGAUGGAUUUUUUAAGACCUAGAAUGCAGAAGAAAUUGACCUGCCAGACUUCUCGGAUGCAGCUGUAGCUAUUCCCACUGUCUCGGGUGAUACAGACUCCCUUGUGAAGUUUGCUCCUGCUAUCCAUUCUAUAGUUCUUGACGGAGAUAUUGUUGUGUGUGAUAUAGCAGAGUUGACAGAGACGUUAAUUUUGCUAUUUGGUUUAAUUUAUGCACUUCAUCUCGAUUAUCCAAAGAAAUUGUCCUACAUAUUUAAUUUCAUUCAAAAAAUUAUACUGGGUUUGGAAGACCUAAAGCGAUUACCUCCUAGACUUAGCCUUAAAAAUAAAUUGCUGAUGAUGGAUGAGUAAGCAGUCUGUUCUCCAAAUCCCAUGGUAGAUACUGCCAGCAUGUUAAUACUCAAGCAAGCAAUGGAGCUUUUCGCUUUUAUUUAUGUUGGCCUAUUAUUUUGUUAUUUGAGUAUUAUUACCUUUGUUGAAGUGGUAAAAGGUUGUUAUUUCUUUUAUUUUCUGUAUUAACCGCAUUGCUGGGGAUGCUGUUCUGUUAGAAUUCUAAUGGAAUUCUUAAAUAAAUGGAAUCUGCAUUGAA